CGUCAUCACAAUCACUAUUAAAGUGUUUACUUAAGAGUAAAGUUAUGUCAAACACUAGACUGAAAGCCCAAUUGUCCUUAAAUUGUGGUCAACUAAUAGAUCUAUUAACUAAUUAUAUAAGAAAUUUUAUCACUAAUGACGCUUCGGGUGCCGGCAUCGGAAACGCCUGGGUUGGUGGCUAUGGCGGAGGCGGCGUCGGUAACGCCUGGCUUCAUGUUGGUGGCGGCGGUGGUGGUGGUGGUGGCGAUGGUGCCGAUGGUGGCGCUGGUGUCCAACAAAUAGAAAGUCUACCGCCGCCGCCUCCAUCGCCAUUAUUGAACACUUCACGCCAUAGAGCCAUAGAUAAUCUCUUGGAAAAGUUGAAAACAAAUUUGCCACAAAUUGAUGGAUCGGUUGAUCGGGUCGUAGGACGCUAUCCAAUGGAUAGGUCUGAACAAAAUUUUUAUGAUAAUGAAAUUAUGGCUAAAAUUCAAACGGUCCAGCAAUUGGCUCAGUUAUACAAAGAUAAUAGUCAAACAGUGAUUAAUCGUCGUCUUGGCGAACAAAUGGUGAAUAUUUGCGAUGACUUUUUCAAAGGUUGGCCCACUUUUGGACAAUCGGACGGCACGGGUAGUCUUGUGCCUUACUCCGACACCGACACAAGCACUAGCUCUUCGGCGACCCCGCCAUCAGAUGCCGAAGCGGAACUACCGUUCAAUCGCUAUUAGGUCCUCGUAUCGUAAUUUCGGUUAUCU